UUUGUCCCACAGCGGGCAGGGGGAAGUCAGGAAAACGGACACACUGCUGUUUGGGCAACCCUUUGUCAGGGCCUGUUAUCUCCCACUUGCAGAUCCAGGGCAUUUCAGAGGUCAGAGAGAGGAGGGAGGCCUCUUCUGAGAUUUUGACCUCUAUUCAGGGGAAUGCCGAAAAAUGAAGUGGCCUGUGGCGGUGUGGUAAAAAUGAAACGGCCAGGUGCGAUGAUUCAAGCCUGUAAUCCCAGCACUUUGGGAGGCUGAGGCGAGCAGAUCACCUGAGGUCAGGAGUUCGAGACCAGCCUGGCCAACGUGGGGAAACCCCAUCUCUACUAAAAAUACAAAAAAUUAGAUGGGCAUGGUGGUGCACGCCUGUAACCCCAGCUACUCG
rnacentral:lncRNA from 1 species